rnacentral:rRNA from 1 species
UACGUAGGGUCCGAGCGUUGUCCGGAAUUAUUGGGCGUAAAGGGCUCGUAGGCGGUCCGUCACGUCGGGAGUGAAAACUCGGAGCUCAACUCCGAGCCUGCUUCCGAUACGGGCAGACUAGAGGUAGGCAGGGGAGAGCGGAACUCCUGGUGUAGCGGUGGAAUGCGCAGAUAUCAGGAAGAACACCGGUGGCGAAGGCGGCUCUCUGGGCCUUACCUGACGCUGAGGAGCGAAAGUGUGGGUAGCGAACAGG